rnacentral:rRNA from 1 species
AGUGAACGCUGGCGGCGUGCUUAACACAUGCAAGUCGAACGAGAACGGAUUAUAGCUUGCUAUAAUUGUCAGCUAAGUGGCGCACGGGUGAGUAAUGUAUAGGUAAUAUGCCUCUUACUAAGGGAUAACAAUUGGAAACGAUUGCUAAUACCUUAUAUUCCUUUUUAUCAAAAGAUAAAAAGUGAAAGAUUUAUUGGUAAGAGAUUAGCCUGUAUUGUAUCAGUUAGUUGGUGGGGUAAUGGCCUACCAAGACGAUGACGAAUAACUGGUUUGAGAGGAUGAUCAGUCACACUGGAACUGAGACACGGUCCAGACUCCUACGGGAGGCAGCAGUGGGGAAUAUUGCACAAUGGACGAAAGUCUGAUGCAGCAACGCCGCGUGGAGGAUGACACAUUUCGGUGCGUAAACUCCUUUUAUAUAAGAAGAUAAUGACGGUAUUAUAUGAAUAAGCACCGGCUAACUCCGUGCCAGCAGCCGCCGUAA